rnacentral:rRNA from 1 species
GACGAACGCUGGCGGCGUGCUUAAUACAUGCAAGUCGAACGGACAGGCCUCUUUCUUGGGGUUCUCGAGUGGCGAACGGGUGAGUGAGACAUGAGUGGACUGCCCUUGUAUUUGGGAUAACUUCAGGAAACAGGGGGGAAUACAGGAUAGUAGCUCCUUCGGCACGGUGGGGGUUGGAGAGUUUCGGCGGUUGGGGAUGGAUUCGCGGGUUAUCAGCGUGGUGGUGGGUAAGUGGCUUACCAACGCUUUGACGGGUAGCCGGACUGAGAGAGUGAACGGCGACAUUGGGACUGAGGGAAGGCCCAGACGGGUACGGGAGGCAGUAGUGGGAAAUCUUGCAGAAUGAGUGCCAGUCUGAUGCAGCAAUGCCGUGUGCGGGAUGACGGUCUUCGUGCUGAAAACCACUUUCGUUCAUGACGAAGCUCUGUGUGACGGUAGUUGGUAAAAAAGCACCGGCUAACUACGUG